GAAAGUAACUCAAUGGUAGAGUGUAACCUUGCCAAGGUUAAGGCUGAGAGUUCAAAUCUGA
rnacentral:tRNA from 12 species